CCACCUCAAUUCCAGAAGACAGUUUAACAAAUAUCAAUUUAAACGGAAAUGAAGGAGGAAACUGCGGGGCACAGAGAUGAAGUACACAAGGUUCCUGACAUUCAGGAGCUCGCCCACGGCCCCAGACGCUACGGACUGGCACUUAGUGGCACUAAGGCACUUCAGGCGAUGAUUCUGUGGAGUUGUUUUCUGCCAUGGCAGGACGCAGCUCCAAGCAUCUGAAGAUUUAUGUGAUAUACAGAGAAGAAAAUCACCCUCGUGUGAUACAUAUGGAAAAUGGGUUAAAAAAAAAAAUCAAGUGACAAAUCUCGGUAGGAUUAUCAACUUGAGGACACUUGUCAAGCAGUAUCCCCACAGGAGUCAUCUUACUUAAUUUUUUUGUCAACAACUUGGUUAAGUGGAUUUUAUAAAUGAUUCAAAAUAUGUCUAAGUGGCUGGAACUAGAAGCAAAAAUGGUCUUUAAAACAACCUUGAUAGCGUUUCCUGCUGAUAGACAAGGGGGCGGAGAUGAUGAACGUUCCCAAAGCGACAGAUCCUUCUUCACAAGGGAAGACGGUUGUAUGAAGGUUUAACAUGUUGAGCCCAGCUGCUAAGAAAUUCUAUUCAUUCUAGGAUGCUAGAAAUUUGAACUCAGGGGAAAGAGGAGAAAAAGUCUGGGAGAUGAAGCCUGGCCUACACUGUAUAACUUUGGUUUUACAAGGAAACAAUGAAAAUAUUGACGUUGAAAUGCCCCCUAAUAAAGCCCUGGGGUGUCCCAGUUGGUGAUUUAUAGCCUCUCAGCUCCAAAUUCUCUCUUCAUGGCUUUGCACGUCGUGCUGGAGCCGGAUCCUGAGGACCUUUGUGCUCUGCCAGGUGGCCCAAUGCAGAGCUUUGUCACAGGGGGUGCUGCAGGAGAGGUGCGGGAGGCAGUGGUUUGUCUUCCUGGUUCUGGUGUUUUCCUCUCUCUCCUUGUUCCUGCAGCAGCGGGGACAUCCUGUGGCACUCAUCUCCGUCGAUUUCAGCAGUCCCCUUACGGGUGAAGGUUACUAGAGAUUUCUGCCAGAGCCCCAGCUGGCUUCCUAGAAAGUACGAUGCCCCCCACCAGCAGCUUCCUGAGCAGUUGGCCAGCGACCCAACUGGAUGCCAGAGGGUGGAAUGUAAUCAGCAUCUCACUGAACUUCUGUGCUAGCCAGAGGGCCAUAACCGCACCCUCUUCAAUAAGGCCUGCACCUCAAUUUGGCUAUCAUAAAGCCCUCUUCCAAGUUUGUUCCUUCCUUGGGUGGUCUGCCUCAGUCCUAGGUAAGAGCUGCUCCUUGUAUCUGUUAUUUGUAUAAUCUUGGGAGUUUCUUAACUCCUUAUUGUAACGAAUUCUCUGUUAGUGGUUAGUAAUUCUUCACAUUAAACUUUCCCUGUUCAUUGCUG